rnacentral:rRNA from 1 species
AGAGUUUGAUCAUGGCUCAGGACGAACGCUGGCGGCGUGCCUAAUACAUGCAAGUCGAGCGGACGUUUUUGAAGCUUGCUUCAAAAACGUUAGCGGCGGACGGGUGAGUAACACGUGGGCAACCUGCCUUAUCGACUGGGAUAACUCCGGGAAACCGGGGCUAAUACCGGAUAACAUCUAGCACCUCCUGGUGCAAGAUUAAAAGAGGGCCUUCGGGCUCUCACGGUGAGAUGGGCCCGCGGCGCAUUAGCUAGUUGGAGAGGUAAUGGCUCCCCAAGGCGACGAUGCGUAGCCGACCUGAGAGGGUGAUCGGCCACACUGGGACUGAGACACGGCCCAGACUCCUACGGGAGGCAGCAGUAGGGAAUCUUCCGCAAUGGACGAAAGUCUGACGGAGCAACGCCGCGUGAGUGAUGAAGGGUUUCGGCUCGUAAAGCUCUGUUAUGAGGGAAGAACACGUACCGUUCGAAUAGGGCGGUACCUUGACGGUACCUCAUCAGAAAGCCACGGCUAACUACGUGCCAGCAGCCGCGGUA